rnacentral:rRNA from 1 species
AAGUCGAGCGGCAAGGGGGAGCAAUCCNUCCUAGAGCGGCGGACUGGUGAGUAACACGUGGGUAACCUACCCUCAGGAUGGGGAUAGCCGCUAGAAAUAGCGGAUAAUACCGAAUAAGCCCGUGCGGCGAUGGCUGCGCGUGGAAAGGAGCGUCUGCUCCGCCUGAGGAUGGGCCCGCGUCCCAUUAGCUAGUUGGUGAGGUAAGAGCCCACCAAGGCAUCGAUGGGUAGCCGGCCUGAGAGGGUGAACGGCCACAUUGGGACUGAGAUACGGCCCAAACUCCUACGGGAGGCAGCAGCUAAGAAUAUUCCGCAAUGGACGAAAGUCUGACGGAGCGACGCCGCGUGGAUGACGAAGGCCGAAAGGUUGUAAAAUCCUUUUGCCGCCGAAGAAUAAUCCGGUAGGAAAUGACCGAGAGAUGACGAUAGGCGGCGAAUAAGCCCCGGCUAAUUACGUGCCAGCAGCCGCGGUAACACGUAAGGGGCGAGCGUUGUUCGGAAUUAUUGGGCGUAAAGGGCGCGUAGGCGGUCAGAUAAGUCCGGCGUGAAAGGCCGGGGCUCAACCCCGGGACUGCGCUGGAAACUAUCUGACUUGAGUCAUGGAGGGGGAGUUGGAAUUCCUAGUGUAGGGGUGAAAUCUAUAGAUAUUAGGAAGAACACCGGUGGCGAAGGCGAAC